GCCGAAUUGAAUUCUUACUUGGAGCCUUGUUGAACUUCCAAAACUGGGUACCGGAAAACUUCAGUGCAAGACUGCAUGGAACAAUAAGUAUCAGGGCAGUUGCUUGCUUUGGACCGACUGGACGUGGACGUAUUUUUUGCAGCUUCACAGUGACAUCGUCAGGCCAAACGUCCGCGAUGCAAAAAGGAGGGAAAGAGGCAUGCAGAAAUCCGGCUGCUUCUAGGGCACUUUCAGAGUCACACAGCUCUGCGGGGAGCUGCCAAACUGCCCUUUGUGAGUUGCUAAAGAAGUUAGAAGAAGCUCCACCCACUGACUUUGGGCUCGUAUGAAGCACAGAGGCAAAACAAACAGAAGGUCACGUGAUACCUUUGAAGUGAUAAAGCAGGUGAAUUACACAGGACUUCUAUCCUGCCUGGGAAAUCUAGAAACAACCUGCAUUCCCAUGCUACAGUUGGUAAUGCAAGGAACAGUAUUUCAGUUGGUAAGCUGUGUUUGUGGGUAUGGAAGAGGGGCAAGCCUAACAAUGGAAACGUGUUCCCCAAAGAUGACCUUGUGAGGGGGAAGACUUGGAAUGUGGGUCUGUAGUUGCCAGUUUCUGCCCUUCUGCCUAUGGGAUAAGGGAUAUGUCUGACUAAUUUUUCCAUCACAACCCAUUUGUUAUGGGGGUGUACACUAGAUUCCUUGAAUAUUGUAAAGGAAGGGAAUGUACAGUAGGUGGCUGCAUAUUAAACAAGUUGCUUUUACAGUUCAUGGCUGUGAUCAGAUAUACAUGGUAUGUUGUGUUUUUGGCUUAGCAUGUUAUUAGAACCUAGAUCUAAUAGGUCUAAUGAUCUAAAGGGUCAAAUUUCAAACUUGACCCAAACUUGAAACCAUGAUCAGUUACUGAUUUAUCCACUUCAAUAUAUCUGCUGUUCUGAACUUUCUUUUACAAUUGAAAGUCAGAGG